rnacentral:rRNA from 1 species
UGGGGAAUAUUGCACAAUGGGCGCAAGCCUGAUGCAGCCAUGCCGCGUGUAUGAAGAAGGCCUUCGGGUUGUAAAGUACUUUCAGCGGGGAGGAAGGUGUUGAGGCUAAUAACCUCAGCAAUUGACGUUACCCGCAGAAGAAGCACCGGCUAACUCCGUGCCAGCAGCCGCGGUAAUACGGAGGGUGCAAGCGUUAAUCGGAAUUACCGGGCGUAAAGCGCACGCAGGCGGUCUGUCAAGUCGGAUGUGAAAUCCCCGGGCUCAACCUGGGAACUGCAUUCGAAACUGGCAGGCUAGAGUCUUGUAGAGGGGGGUAGAAUUCCAGGUGUAGCGGUGAAAUGCGUAGAGAUCUGGAGGAAUACCGGUGGCGAAGGCGGCCCCCUGGACAAAGACUGACGCUCAGGUGCGAAAGCGUGGGGAGCAAACA